rnacentral:rRNA from 1 species
AUACGGAGGGUGCGAGCGUUGUUCGGAAUUAUUGGGCGUAAAGAGCAUGUAGGCGGUCUGUUAAGUCUGGUGUGAAAGCCCGGGGCUCAACCCCGGAAGUGCAUUGGAUACUGGCAGACUUGAGUAUGGGAGAGGAAAGCGGAAUUCCGAGUGUAGGAGUGAAAUCCGUAGAUAUUCGGAGGAACACCAGUGGCGAAGGCGGCUUUCUGGACCAAUACUGACGCUGAGAUACGAAAGCGUGGGGAGCGAACAGGAUUAGAUACCCGAGUAGUCC